rnacentral:rRNA from 1 species
UACGUAGGGUGCGAGCGUUGUCCGGAAUUAUUGGGCGUAAAGAGCUCGUAGGCGGUCUGUCGCGUCGGUCGUGAAAACUUGGGGCUUAACCCUGAGCUUGCAGUGGAUACGGGCAGACUAGAGGUAGGUAGGGGAGAAUGGAAUUCCUGGUGUAGCGGUGAAAUGCGCAGAUAUCAGGAGGAACACCGGUGGCGAAGGCGGUUCUCUGGGCCUUACCUGACGCUGAGGAGCGAAAGCGUGGGGAGCGAACAGG